rnacentral:SRP_RNA from 2 species
GCCGGGCAUGGUGGUGUGUGCCUGUAAUCCUAGCUACUUGAGAGGCUGAGGCAGGAGAAUUGCUUGAGCCCAGGAGACAGAGGUUGCAGUGAGCAGAGAUUGUGCCACUGCACUCCAGCCUGGCCCACAGAGUGAGACUCUGUCUCUA